GACGAACGCUGGCGGCGUGCUUAACACAUGCCAGUCGAACGGAAAGGCCCUGCUUUUGUGGGGUGCUCGAGUGGCGAACGGGUGAGUAACACGUGAGUAACCUGCCCUUGACUUUGGGAUAACUUCAGGAAACUGGGGCUAAUACCGGAUAGGAGCUCCUGCUGCAUGGUGGGGGUUGGAAAGUUUCGGCGGUUGGGGAUGGACUCGCGGCUUAUCAGCUUGUUGGUGGGGUAGUGGCUUACCAAGGCUUUGACGGGUAGCCGGCCUGAGAGGGUGACCGGCCACAUUGGGACUGAGAUACGGCCCAGACUCCUACGGGAGGCAGCAGUGGGGAAUAUUGCACAAUGGGCGGAAGCCUGAUGCAGCAACGCCGCGUGCGGGAUGACGGCCUUCGGGUUGUAAACCGCUUUCGCCUGUGACGAAGCGUGAGUGACGGUAAUGGGUAAAGAAGCACCGGCUAACU
rnacentral:rRNA from 1 species